rnacentral:snoRNA from 1 species
GCCUUCCAUAUUUCUUACCCCUUAGAUCUAAAUAUUGAUCCGAGCGGCUAAACAAGGGGGAGAAGUAAAACUGGAAUGGAAUGGCAUCUUUAGGGGCAUAAAAGUUUAUUUCAAAUAUGG